GUGCUUGCUUUGGCAGCACACAUACUAAAAUUGGAACGCUACAAAGAAGAUUAGCAUGGCCCGUGCACAAGGGUUACAUGCAAAUUUGUGAAGCUUUCCAUUUUUUU
ensembl:snRNA U6 U6 spliceosomal RNA